AGGAUGAACGCUGGCGGCGUGCUUAACACAUGCAAGUCGAGCGAAGCAUAAAAACAGAUUUCUUCGGAAUGAAAUUUUUAUGACUGAGCGGCGGACGGGUGAGUAACGCGUGGGUGACCUGCCUCAUACAGGGGGAUAACAGACAGAAAUGUCUGCUAAUACCGCAUAGGCGCACAGUGCUGCAUGGCACAGUGUGAAAAACUCCGGUGGUAUGAGAUGGACCCGCGUCUGAUUAGCUAGUUGGUAAGGUAACGGCUUACCAAGGCGACGAUCAGUAGCCGGCCUGAGAGGGUGAACGGCCACAUUGGGACUGAGACACGGCCCAAACUCCUACGGGAGGCAGCAGUGGGGAAUAUUGCACAAUGGGGGAAACCCUGAUGCAGCGACGCCGCGUGAAGGAAGAAGUAUUUCGGUAUGUAAACUUCUAUCAGCAGGGAAGAAAAUGACGGUACCUGACUAAGAAGCCCCGGCUAACUACGUGCCAGCAGCCGCGGUAAUACGUAGGGGGCAAGCGUUAUCCGGAUUUACUGGGUGUAAAGGGAGCGUAGACGGCAUGGCAAGUCUGGUGUGAAAGGCAGGGGCUCAACCCCUGGACUGCAUUGGAAACUGUCAGGCUGGAGUGCAGGAGAGGUAAGUGGAAUUCCUAGUGUAGCGGUGAAAUGCGUAGAUAUUAGGAGGAACACCAGUGGCGAAGGCGACUUACUGGACUGUAACUGACGUUGAGGCUCGAAAGCGUGGGGAGCAAACAGGAUUAGAUACCCUGGUAGUCCACGCCGUAAACGGUGAAUACUAGGUGUCAGGGAGCAAAGCUCUUUGGUGCCGCAGCUAACGCAAUAAGUAUUCCACCUGGGGAGUACGUUCGCAAGAAUGAA
rnacentral:rRNA from 1 species